UACAGAGGGUGCGAGCGUUAAUCAGAAUUACUGGGCGUAAAGCGCACGUAGGCGGCUUGGUAUGUCGGGUGUGAAAUCCCCGGGCUCAACCUGGGAACUGCAUCCGAAACUGCCUUGCUCGAGUAUGGGAGAGGGAAGUGGAAUUUCCGGUGUAGCGGUGAGAUGCGUAGAUAUCGGAAGGAACAUCAGUGGCGAAGGCGACUUCCUGGACCAAUACUGACGCUCAGGUGCGAAAGCGUGGGGAGCAAACAGG
rnacentral:rRNA from 1 species